rnacentral:rRNA from 1 species
GACGGAAGGUGCAAGCGUUGCUCGGAAUCACUGGGCGUAAAGGGUGCGUAGGCGGCCGUGCAAGUCUGGUGUGAAAGCCCCGGGCUCAGCCCGGGAAGUGCGCUCGAAACUGCGCGGCUCGAGUGCCGGAGGGGAGAGUGGAAUUCCUGGUGUAGCGGUGAAAUGCGCAGAUAUCAGGAGGAACACCAAUAGCGAAGGCAGCUCGCUGGGACGGUAUUGACGCUGAGGCGCGAAAGCGUGGGGAGCAAACAGG